AUUGAACGCUGGCGGAAUGCUUUACACAUGCAAGUCGAACGGCAGCACGGACUUCGGUCUGGUGGCGAGUGGCGAACGGGUGAGUAAUAUAUCGGAACGUGCCCAAUCGCGGGGGAUAACGUAGGGAAAUCUACGCUAAUACCGCAUACACUCUACGGAUCAAAGCGGGGGCUCGCAAGCCCUCGCGCGAUUGGAGCGGCCGAUGGCAGAGUAGGUAGUUGGUAGGGUAAAGGCCUUCCAAGCCGACGAACUGUAGCUGGUCUGAGAGGAUGAUCAGCCACACUGGGACUGAGACACGGCCCAGACUCCUACGGGAGGCAGCAGUGGGGAAUUUUGGACAAUGGACGCAAGUCUGAUCCAGCCAUUCCGCGUGCGGGAUGAAGGCGCUCGGGUUGUAAACUGCUUUUGUACGGAACGAAAAGGCUCUGGUAAAUACCUAGGGCACGUGACGGUACUGUAAGAAUAAGCACCGGCUAACUACGUGCCAGCCGCCGCCGUAA
rnacentral:rRNA from 1 species